GACGAACGCUGGCGGCGUGCCUAAUACAUGCAAGUAGAACGCUGAAGAGAGGAGCUUGCUCUUCUUGGAUGAGUUGCGAACGGGUGAGUAACGCGUAGGUAACCUGCCUUGUAGCGGGGGAUAACUAUUGGAAACGAUAGCUAAUACCGCAUAACAAUGGAUGACACAUGUCGUUUAUUUGAAAGGGGCAAUUGCUCCACUACAAGAUGGACCUGCGUUGUAUUAGCUAGUAGGUGAGGUAAUGGCUCACCUAGGCGACGAUACAUAGCCGACCUGAGAGGGUGAUCGGCCACACUGGGACUGAGACACGGCCCAGACUCCUACGGGAGGCAGCAGUAGGGAAUCUUCGGCAAUGGGGGCAACCCUGACCGAGCAACGCCGCGUGAGUGAAGAAGGUUUUCGGAUCGUAAAGCUCUGUUGUAAGUCAAGAACGGGUGUGAGAGUGGAAAGUUCACACUGUGACGGUAGCUUACCAGAAAGGGACGGCUAACUACGUG
rnacentral:rRNA from 1 species